rnacentral:rRNA from 1 species
GUGCCAGCCGCCGCGGUAAUACGUAGGGGGCGAGCGUUGUCCGGAAUUACUGGGCGUAAAGGGCGUGUAGGCGGCUAAUUAAGUCAGAUGUGAAAGGCCCCGGCUUAACCGGGGUAUUGCAUUUGAAACUGGUUAGCUUGAGUGCAGGAGAGGAAAGUGGAAUUCCUAGUGUAGCGGUGAAAUGCGUAGAUAUUAGGAGGAACACCAGUGGCGAAGGCGACUUUCUGGACUGUAACUGACGCUGAGGCGCGAAAGCGUGGGUAGCGAACAGGAUUAGAUACCCUGGUAGUCCACGCUGUAAACGAUGGAUACUAGGUGUAGGGGGUAUCGAAACCCUCUGUGCCGGAGUAAACGCAAUAAGUAUCCCGCCUGGGGAGUACGGCCGCAAGGUUGAAACUCAAAUGAAUUGGCGG